GCCCUAGUAGCUUAGCCCAUAAAGCGCCGGUCUUGUAAUCCGGAGAUCGAAGGUUAAAAUCCUUCCUAGUGCC
rnacentral:tRNA from 1 species